rnacentral:rRNA from 1 species
UACGUAGGGGGCUAGCGUUGUCCGGAAUCAUUGGGCAUAAAGCGCGUGUAGGCGGUCCGGUAAGUCCGCUGUGAAAGUCGAGGGCUCAACCCUCGAAUGCCGGUGGAUACUGUCGGGCUUGAGUACGGGAGAGGCGAGUGGAAUUCCUGGUGUAGCGGCGAAAUGCGCAGAUAUCAGGAGGAGCACCGGUGGCGAAGGCGGGUCUCUGGGCAGUAACUGACGCUGAGGAGCGAAAGCGUGGGGAGCGAACAGG